CCUUAAGAGUCCUGAAGGAACGUUGAAGACGACGACGUUGAUAGGCCGGGUGUGUAAGCGCAGCGAUGCGUUGAGCUAACCGGUACUAAUGAACCGUGAGGCUUAACCUU
rnacentral:rRNA from 1 species